rnacentral:tRNA from 1 species
GGGUAUAGCUCAGUGGGUGAGCACGUGCUCAGCAGGCAUGAGGUCCUGGGUUCAAUCCCCAGUACAGCCA